GCCUGGGUGGCUCAGUUGGUUAAAGUGUCUGACUUCAGCUCAGGUCAUGAUCUUGAGGUUCGUGAGUUCGAGCCCUGCAUCAGGCU
rnacentral:tRNA from 1 species